UCCUGGGAAAAAAGUGAAUGAGUGCUUUCACCAGAGGCCUCCAGGAAGGCUCAGCUCCAGGAGACAAAACCCAGGCAAACAAUCAGCUUAAAGGAAGCUUCCCUUGAGGCCUGGGGAGAGAUGCGUGGGGCUGAGAAAACUUUUCCAGGCUGUGGGAAGAGCUGCUGUGGACUCUGAACUUAUCCUUGCUCCUUCCUGAACACCAUUUCGAGAACAUCUCUGGUGCGGAUGUUAACCAGACGAACCGUACAAGCCAUGCACCUCCAAGUGGAGGUUCCUCUGGCUGUUCUGAAACUUCGGGGAACAGAAUGACUUUUUCAGGACUCUGGCUUUUCAGGUGAGACAGUUCCUGAUGAUGCUUUUUGGAGUAAGGGCUGAACAGGCACCAGGUACUGGUUUCUCAUGUGCUCCUUGUUAGUCACACCUCACCCUGUGUAGAGUACAAACACUCCCAAGUCAUGAACAACAGCAUCCCACAAGGAUGCAGGAGAACACAAUCCCGUUUGGUUUUUCAAACAAACUCAUUCAUUGGUGGGUACAGAAUUGCAGACUCCCUGAUACUCGUGUGCACACCCCAAGAUGAGGUCCCCUGCUCCAGGAAACCUGUAACUAAAAGCACUAGUUUCCUGAAGCUGGCUGAACUGGGUAAGGGUUUUCUAUUGCCUUUGAAGUGCAGAUCUGGAACCUCUGGGGAGCUUCUAUUUUAAAGAUACAAGAAGAAUAAGGCUGUUUCCUUCCUUUUAGAAGACCGACAGGUAUAAACAAACCAGGAGGGGUGGGGGCGGGCUGCCUGGUCUCUGAGGUCAGGAGCCAGCAA
rnacentral:lncRNA from 1 species